rnacentral:rRNA from 1 species
CCUACGGGGGGCUGCAGUGGGGGAUAUUGCACAAUGGGGGAAACCCUGAUGCAGCGACGCCGCGUGUGGGAAGACGGUCCUCUGGAUUGUAAACCACUGUCCCCAGGGACGAAGAUGACGGUACCUGGGGAGGAUGCUCCGGCUCACUACGUGCCAGCAGCCGCGGUAAUACGUAGGGAGCAAGCGUUGUCCGGAAUUACUGGGUGUAAAGGGAGCGUAGGCGGGAUGGCAAGUUGGGUGUUAAAUCUACCGGCUCAACUGGUAGUCGCACUCAAAACUGCUAGUCUUGAGUGAAGUAGAGGCAGGCGGAAUUCCUAGUGUAGCGGUGAAAUGCGUAGAUAUUAGGAGGAACACCAGUGGCGAAGGCGGCCUGCUGGGCUGUUACUGACGCUGAGGCUCGAAAGUGUGGGGAGCAAACAGGAUUAGAUACCCUGGUAGUC